rnacentral:piRNA from 1 species
UCCUAAUGUCUGAGGGUUCCAGUGAGCUU